GAUCCUGGCUCAGGAUGAACGCUAGCUACAGGCUUAACACAUGCAAGUCGAGGGGGCAGCAUGGUCUUAGCUUGCUAAGACUGAUGGCGACCGGCGCACGGGUGAGUAACACGUAUCCAACCUGCCGUCCACUCUUGGACAGCCUUCUGAAAGGAAGAUUAAUACAAGAUGGCAUCAUGAGUCCGCAUGUUCACAUGAUUAAAGGUAUUCCGGUAGACGAUGGGGA
rnacentral:rRNA from 1 species